rnacentral:pre_miRNA from 1 species
AUUAGGUCUUUGAUACAACGUUUGACUCUUCAUCUUAUUUAAUUUUUAUUAUGAUUACUAUUUUUGUUGUUAUCGGAUGACAAAAUAUGAAUAAUAUUUUAUGAGUGAGUUUUUUAAAAUUUUUCAUAAAUUUUUCAAAUGAAACAGGCGGUCAAACGUUGGACACAAAACUCUCAAAAUGCACUCUUU